AACGAACGCUGGCGGCAGGCCUAACACAUGCAAGUCGAGCGAGAUCUUCGGGUCUAGCGGCGGACGGGUGAGUAACGCGUGGGAAUAUGCCUCUUGGUACGGAAUAGCCUCGGGAAACUGGGAGUAAUACCGUAUGUGCCCUUUGGGGGAAAGAUUUAUCGCCAAGAGAUUAGCCCGCGUUGGAUUAGGUAGUUGGUGGGGUAAUGGCCUACCAAGCCGACGAUCCAUAGCUGGUUUGAGAGGAUGAUCAGCCACACUGGGACUGAGACACGGCCCAGACUCCUACGGGAGGCAGCAGUGGGGAAUCUUAGACAAUGGGGGCAACCCUGAUCUAGCCAUGCCGCGUGAGUGAUGAAGGCCUUAGGGUUGUAAAGCUCUUUCAGCUGGGAAGAUAAUGACGUACCAGCAGAGAGCCC
rnacentral:rRNA from 1 species